GACGAACGCUGGCGGCGUGCUUAACACAUGCAAGUCGAACGAUGAAGCCUUCGGGUGGAUUAGUGGCGAACGGGUGAGUAACACGUGGGUGAUCUGCCCUGCACUUUGGGAUAAGCCUGGGAAACUGGGUCUAAUACCGAAUAUGAUCAUGCUCUUCAUGGGGUGGGGUGGAAAGCUUUUGCGGUGUGGGAUGGGCCCGCGGCCUAUCAGCUUGUUGGUGGGGUAAUGGCCUACCAAGGCGAUGACGGGUAGCCGGCCUGAGAGGGUGACCGGCAACGCUGGGACUGAGAUACGGCGCAGACUCCUACGGGAGGCAGCAGUGAGGAAUAUUGCACAAUGGGCGCAAGCCUGAUGCAGCGACGCCGCGUGAGGGAUGACGGCCUUCGGGUUGUAAACCUCUUUCAGCAGGGACGAAGCGCAAGUGACGGUACCUGCAGAAGAAGGACCGGCCAACUACGUGCCAGCAGCCGCAGUAA
rnacentral:rRNA from 1 species